rnacentral:rRNA from 1 species
UACGGAGGGGGCAAGCGUUGUUCGGAAUUACUGGGCGUAAAGGGUUCGUAGGUGGCCAACUUAGUCAGACGUGAAAUCCCUCAGCUUAACUGGGGAACUGCGUCUGAUACUGGAUGGCUUGAGUGCAGGAGAGGAACGCGGAAUUCCAGGUGUAGCGGUGAAAUGCGUAGAUAUCGGGAGGAACACCAGUAGCGAAGGCGGCAUCCUGGACCAAUAUUGACGCUGAGGAGCGAAAGCCAGGGGAGCAAACGGG